CCAGUUCUACUCAAGCCAAAGUCGACGAUCUACUUUAUCCGCCUGGAUUUGGUCCAUACGCUAAUGUGUCUAGCGCUGCUGGCACAUCCACCAUGCGUCCUCCAAAUCCAUCAUUCAUGAACAACCCGCUUUUAAUUCCGGCCGUGACAACUAAUAAAAAUCCUCCAUCAAUGAUAUAGAAGCCUAUCAACGAGCUAAAUCAUGAUCAAGUCUAUCCUCCUGAAU
rnacentral:lncRNA from 1 species